rnacentral:rRNA from 1 species
AUGAGCCCAGCUCCUCUCCCCACGAUCUCCUCGCCACCGCCCCCACCCACGCCGGCCGGUUCUGGCGAGCACCGGUCGCGCACAACACUCCCCCAAGCGCGCCCCUCCCUCCGCCCACACCCUGAUCCAGUAAUAUCCCUUCCUCCCCUCGUCGACCGCUUCGGCUUCGACGACGAUGGCGCCGCCAUCCGCAUCCUCUCCGACGCCGACCCGGCCGCGCCGUGGCAGCAGCAGCCCACAGGCGCCAACAUCCGCCGCGAGCUCGCGCGCCUCGUCGCCGAUGCGCGGCCCGGGGACUCCCUCUUCUUCCACUACAGCGGCCACGGCACGCGCCUGCCCGCCGAGACCGGCCAGGACGAUGACACCGGCUACGACGAGUGCAUCGUCCCCUCCGACAUGAACCUCAUCACAGGUGUGCAGAUCCGGAGACGCCCUUCCGGUGACUAUGAUUUUGGGUUUGCUGACCCUUUUGACCUCAAGUACUACUACAAAGCAGAAAGGAUCCCUGUGAUCAAUUUGCUCCUCUUCACUACACCCACCAGCGUGUCAGCGAUCUGCACUGAAGCAAGGGAUGGAACUCAGGCUGGUACUGACCAAACUGAAGAUGUAAGGCAGAACAGAAGAAGGGCGCCAAGAAAUCUUGGAUUCAUAUGGGAGAAGCACAUAAGGGAGAAGAAGACGAUUGAAAGGAUGGAGAGGGAGCAAAUCAUUUGGAGGGAUAGAAUGCCACUGUUUGGUGUUUUUAUGCAUUUUUGUUUGCUUUCAACUAUGUUUGCACUAGCUGGGAAUAAGUGA